AUUGUUGCUGCUGUGGGUUGAAUUCUGUUCUCUCCUUCUACCCUCCCUGUCAAAUUCAUAUAUUGAAGUCCUAACCCCCAGCUGCUCAGGAUGAAAUCUCAUUUGGAGACAGAGGUAUUUACAGAGGGAGUCACCUAAGUGGCAAGUGCAGAAAGGAAGAAGUCCUGGAAGAAGGAAGUGGAGUGGACACUUGCUGAAAGAAAUCUUAACUCUAGUAUCUUCCCAGUGCAGUUCCUAUUUUGGGUUUCAACUCCCCCAGAGGAGUCCUUUUAGUGCAGCUCCUGACUGCCCGAUUCCACCGGACUUCUCUCAGUAGACAGACUGAAGGGCAGAUCAAAGGCUAGAGCCUGCGCUCUGCCACGCCCUUGCUUCUGCCCAGAAGGGAGCCUUCUUCUCAUCACCUCUUGAAGAGCCACCUUUGCUCCCAGGAGAGCACACUUAGCUCGUUUGCUGCCAGGCCCUCCACACACUCUGCACUCUUUAGAGCCACCUGCCAGUUCUCUCCCUUCUGAGACCCUAGUAUUUUGUGGUUAGCGCUACGAAACUGUGUCCCUAAGGCUCCUUGCCAGUCGCCACUGAAGACUUCUCAGCCUAAAGAGCCCUUGGCCAAAGUCCCCACCCACCGCCCCUGCCGCGCGCCAUUGAGCCCCCGCGCCGCAGACCUUGAGGUCCUGCUCCAGGCUGCGCAACAGCUCCCCGUCGAUUUCCCCGGUCUGGGCGUAGCGGAGCCUUUUGCGCUCGGCUUUGCGGAGGCGGUACUGCAGGAUCCGGCAGUUUUUGUUGGCUCUCUCCAACUCGUGGCGCAUUUCCUGCAGUUGACAGGCAUCCUCCUCGAAGAAAGUGUCCCUCAUCUCGUCCAUCUCGGUUCUCAGCUCAUCGAUCUCGUUCUGAGGCGGUGACAGGCCGCGUGUCAAAAUCAAACUCGCUUCCAGCCCUUCCGACACACACCGUACACACCCCAUUCCAAUUCCAAAUUCUCAGCUUUAAUUGCCCUCUCUCUCCACGAGACAGGAGUGACAAGGAGCUGAGUACAGAAGAGGAAACUGGGGGAAAAAGGCCCACUUUAGGCCCUCUCUCGUUCUCUUACUCUACCUCUCUCCAGGAAGAAGUGUGACAAACCAUUAUAAUUAGAGAAACGGAGGCCCAGAUUUGAAUUUAAAUGAAAACCUCGCGUUACUGAGAGCAGAUUCAAAUUCCGGCAAGGCCUAGGAAACCCCCUCCCUCCUUUCUUGUUCUCCUCCCUCUUCAAGGCUCCCUAACAG
rnacentral:lncRNA from 10 species